UACGAAGGGGGCGAGCGUUGUCCGGAGUUACUGGGCGUAAAGCGCGCGCAGGCGGCGGUGCUGGCCCGGCGUGAAAGCCCCCGGCUCAACCGGGGAGGGUCGUCGGGGACCGCACCGCUUGAGGGCGGUAGGGGCUGGUGGAAUGCCUGGUGUAGUGGUGAAAUGCGUAGAUAUUGGGAAGAACACCGGUGGCGAAAGCGCCUUGCUGGGUCUGCACUGACACUGAGGGACGAAAGCUAGGGGAGCGAAAGGG
rnacentral:rRNA from 1 species